rnacentral:rRNA from 1 species
UACGUAGGGUGCGAGCGUUAAUCGGAAUUACUGGGCGUAAAGCGUGCGCAGGCGGUUAUGUAAGACAGUUGUGAAAAUCCCCGGGCUCAACCUGGGAAUUGCAUCUGUGACUGCAUAGCUAGAGUACGGUAGAGGGGGAUGGAAUUCCGCGUGUAGCAGUGAAAUGCGUAGAUAUGCGGGAGGAACACCGAUGGCGAAGGCAAUCCCCGUGGACCUGUACUGACGCUCAUGCACGAAAGCGUGGGGAGCAAACAGG